rnacentral:rRNA from 1 species
GCCUAUGGCCAUGCCACCCUGAAAAAGCCUAAUGUCUGAUCUUGGAAGCUAAGCAGGGUCGAGCCUGCUAGUACUUGGAUGGGAGACCGCCCAGGAAGACCAGGUGCUAUAGGCA